GGCCCGGGCUGGGUCAGACGGACAGGCAGUAGCUCCGGCUGCUACGGGGGUACGUGGUCAGGUCAGCUGUCUCCUGAAACCAAACCCAGUGUCCUGUUUCCAGGUGGGAAUUUGAAGUGACCAGUUUGUCUGCACCAGGGUGCGGAGGGAGAGGGGGCUUGCUGCCUGCCAUGGCCUCGGGGCCUCUGUCGCAGCAUGAAAAUUUGGGGUGAGAGGCCUUCAUGCCUCUGCCUGCCCUCCUCACCUGACCCCAGGGACGCCCUGGCCCCUGGAGGUGGGAGGAGAGUAUUGCCUCCUGACCCGGCAGCACCUGCUGCUCCCGCCAUCUCCUGAAUCCCUGGCCGCCUUUAUCCUCACACCUGAACAGAGGAAACCAUCACACCUUUGUGCCCGACGAGGGAGGCCCAGAGGGCUUAAACCUCCCCUGCUGUGAUUUCCGCAGUGUUCUCCAUAGGCGUAAGAUGGGUCAUCCUCUAGCCGAGGGGGAGCUGCCCAGCUGACCACUGGAAGCUGUUCUCCAGCUGCUCCCAGCCCAGACCAGGCCAACCAGCUCCGUCCGUGUAUGCAGCCUCAAACCGAUGAUGCUGUUGCCAAUCCUUGCUUCUCAGCUGAACGUGUUUUCUGAUUACAACGUAGUACAGACUUAAAAGAGGACAUAGAAAAGUUGAAUUGGAAGGAGGAAGAACGGGAAGAAGACGUGUUAUCAUCUUAACACCUAAAACUGCAUUGGUCUAUUCUCACAUGGGAAAGGUGCCAUCAUAAUCUCUGUGUAGAGAAGAAACUGGAGAAGCUGUAGUGGAGGGACAUUCUUGGCACCCAGCUGAAGACCGCGGUACCGUGCAGGUGGAUUAGGACAGCGAGGGGCACUGUGGCGUCGUGCAGGUGACCCAGGACAGCGAGGGGCACCGUGGCGUCGUGCAGGUGACUCGGGACAGCGAGGGGCACCGUGGCGUCCGUGCAGGUGACUCGGGACAGCGAGGGGCACCGUGGCGUCCGUGCAGGUGACUCGGGACAGCGAGGGGCACCGUGGCGUCCGUGCACGUGACCUGGGACACAUGCUCACAGGAAAAGGGUUUGUUCUGGGCAUGCCUACAGGGCAGGCCAGGGGACCUGGCUGUCCUCCCUGCGAGGAGGGUCUUGAUUUCCUAGCGUUUUCUGGGUCUCUAUUUUGGGUAGCUCUCCUGAUUGUACCUGAAAGUUUUCUUUUAAAUCCAGAAACUAUUAAUCACUGAAUGAUUCACUGAGAACUACUGAACCAUAAUUAUGGAAUGAAUCAUAUGCAAUUUAAUAACGAUUUAACUCAAAUAUUUAUAAAAAUGUGCUC
rnacentral:lncRNA from 1 species